GUCCCGGAUUUGGAAUGUUUAAAAGUUAACUAGUCCCUUCUCCUGCCAGAAGCAGAGCCACACCUAAACCAUGCCAGAUACGCGAGGACCUCAAGAACUCAUCUUAGGAAACAGAGGCUCCCAGAACUGAGUGACACAGAAAUUCAAGCAAACGAAGCCAACAUUCUCCCAAGAUUUCACGCUGCUGUCUUCAAGAAAAGUUAUUGGUCACGUAAGGAUGGAUUUUGGGUAGUGACUCAGCAAACUCCACACAGGGACUCGGAGCUGUUGAUUGCCAAGGGAAAUUGGCCCAAAUGACCCUAGGGUCCCUUCUCCAAAGGACUUUAGAAACCGACAUACAUAGCAAGGAAAGUUGGAGCCAGACUCAAAACAAGGGAUAAAAAAGGUAACAACAGGACAAAGAACAAUGGACAAAGGCUGGUUGGAAGAACUGAACCCAAUUGUUCUCUCACUCAGACCCUAAGGAAAUAAUAUGCCUUUAGGGAGUUUGAAAGUUUUCAUCUGGAUUACUAACACCCCCCGCCCCCCCCCCCAUAUAUUACAACACAGCCACUUGACAGCACUGCCAGUUCACCCUGUUCCUCCCCUUCUUACAAGUUAAUUUUGUCUGGUGACUCAGUUGCCACCCAUCAGAACUUGAGCAGUUCAGGGUGGAAAAUAGAGGCUGGAAGGGAAGAAAUGUCAGCAUGAGCAGUAACCCCACCCCCUCUACCUACCCUCCCUCCAUAACCUCCCUGAAGGAGUGCUUCAUGGGAUAGGGUCUCUGUGUACAGAAUGGCUGGGCUAAGAGGGGAGGGCGAAUGUUUGGGGAGAGGAUGAAAACAAGUUGGUUAUUUUAACUCCCAGUUCUUCAAAUGCAAACCCAGAGGAGUGAUUCAUGCCAAAACAAAUCUUUGCAAAUGAAAGCCCGUAUUGACAAUAACUAAAAAUAGAUAUGUAAACCCAUUCACCCCAAAUUAGCUCACAGGGCUGCUUUCUCCAUCAGUCCUCUUUUAUCAUGUUGGAAACCCUACUGGUGCUGUGGGUGAUUUAACUAUGACAUGCUGUAAUGCUGUCCACAAGAGUGGCAUUUGUGAUUUUUAAAGGAAAAAGAACAACUAUAAAAUUAUGAGACAGCCGAAAUAAAUUUCUAAAAGAUACUUUAUGGGCUACUUACACAACACUCCAAGCUGUGACAUUUUAAAGAAACUAAUUUCUCCAAUUGUUAGCUGCUCUGUCUGCAUAGAUAUUUCCCACAAGGACACCAGUCCUUUUUUUUUGGUUAUGAGAUUGACCCUUUCGUUUUCAAAAUCUAUCCUGGAAGAAACUUUGGACAAAAUGAUGAAAGCCUAGUAAACAAAAUACCAAUCAGGAGAAAAUACAGGUAUAUACCUCAAUGAGCAAAAUAUGGACUACCUUGAAAGGUUGCCCACAGGGCAAAACAUUAUGCAAUAAAUGCUUUAUUCCUAAUUCAUUUCUAUAAAGGGAGAGAUGUUGCAGAGCAGGCCACACCUGCACUGGGCUGUUUUCAAGGGGACUCCUUCCAGAAAGUGAAGGCUAUCUGCUGAUAGUUUCCCUUGGAUUAGCAGGAAGUAGGCAAUCAUCUUUAGAAGGGACCCGAUGAAAAAACUGCAGCAUGGAGUUCUCUCCAGAGUCUUGUCACCAUGGAAAGAGAGUGCUUGGGUGGGGGAAAGAAGAGAGAAGGAAACUGAGGACCUUCCCCUCCCUGGUAUUAAGAAGCACAUAGUCGGGGCAGCUAGGUGGUGUAGCGGAUAGAGCACUGGCCCUGGAUUGAGGAGGACCUGAGUUCAGAUCCGACCUCAGACACUUGACACUUACUAGCUGUGUGACCCUGGGCAGGUCACAUAGUCCCAAGACACCUAAACCAAUUUUAGGAUCCCGGCCUGACGUGGCUUCUAAGAUCAUUACUCUGGACACUGCUGCUGCCCCACAGGUACAGCAUUUGCUUGAAUGAGAUUUGAGUUGUUUUCUUACUAGUGCUUUACUGACUUGAAACUCAAAACUAAUGCAGAAAAUGGCAUGGAUUAGUAAUGGUUUUCACUUGCUGUUACAAUGUUAACAAUGACUUCAAAGGGACUAACAAGGAAACCACCCGAUUAAAAGGAAGUACACCCUAUCCUACAAUAUGAACACAGAUGUUUUAAAACUGCCCAUGAGGGGCAGCUAGGUGGCGCAGUGGAUAGAGCAGCAGCCCCUGGAAUCAGGAGGACCUGAGUUCAAAUCUGACCUCAGACACUUAACAUUUACUAGCUGUGUGACCCUGGGCAAGUCACUUAACCCCAAUUGCCUCACCAAAAAUAAAUAAAAAUAAAUAAAUAAAAGAAUUAAAACUGCCCAUGACACAAGCAACUAUAAAUGAAUCCUAUUUUACAAUAGCACCAUGUUGCUAAGCUGACCAUCUUGACAUCAGUUAAAAACACCUAAUAUGUGCCAUCACUGACUUGUGUCCUUUCAAUAAUCCUUCCUCUUAGGGAGUUUCAGUUCACAACGCUCAGGUUGGCUUAACUCUUACACAUUAGAAAGAGCUGAGUACAAUAAAAUUUCUAAUAAAACACUAGAAAGUAUAGGAAUAAAUGGAGCUUUUCUUAAAAUAAGAAGUUUCUAUCUAAAACCAAAACAGGAUAGGCCACAUGCAAACUAUCUUGGGGGAUUCCAAGGGGAGAUUUGGUUUCAGAGUUUUUCUAUCCACUUGAUUCUCCUAUGAGAAUUUAAUUUAGCAUUAAUCUAAUCUGGUGCCACAUUUUUUUUUUUUAACAUGUCAGUUAUUGCAUUUCUAGGCAUGAGUACAAGAAACAGCAUUUGAAUUGACCAA